rnacentral:lncRNA from 1 species
AUGUAUGUUGUUAAUGUUUCUAUUACAAGGUGGAGUACUGCACUUAUGUGAAGGUCCAGAGGGUGGAACGGGCCCUUUGGGAGGAGUAUGAAAAUGUAGGUUGUUAAUGGUUCUAUCACCAGGUGGUGUACUGCACUUAUGUGAAGGUCCGGAAGGUGGAACAGGUCCUUUGGGAAGAGUAUGGAAAUGUAUGUUUUGAAUGGUUCUAUCACAAGGUGGAGUACUGCACUUAUGUGAAGGUCCAGAAGGUGGAACAGGGCCUUUGGGAAGAGUAUGAAAAUGUAUGUCUCCAAUGGUUCUAACAGCUAAUUUAUGAGUAAGAGCUUUAAUCACAUUAUUAAACUGAGUUGUUGGAUUCAAGUCAUGUUGAGCUUUAGGGGGAAAGGUUUCUUCCAUGUUGAAAUCUUGGAUGUUAUUCAAGGCAAAUGUAACAUUUGCUAUGACUAUAUUUGAGAAAACAAGAAACAAAACAAAUGAACUUAAGCUAAUGGCCAUUUUGGAUUCCUUGAUAAGAAAAUGAGAAGCUCAAUGCUAACAUUUAUAGUAUACCAUGAGAAAGAAAUAAAAUAGUAUUAAUAAUAAAAAAGUUAUUAUUAAUAUGGAAUAAAAAUACUAGUUAUAUAAUCUUGACUAAUCUUUCUAUAUACCAUGACUAUACUCUUUAAAAUGAAUAGAAAUCUUUAGAAUAAAUUUUAAAUUUAUUUAUUGAUUAUUACAUGUGUAUACAAAUUUGUGAGUAAAUUUAAUAUGGAUUACUACUGUGUAUCUUUCAUUAAACUUAACAUUACAUACAAAUUAUUAAAGUAUAUUUUAUUAAAUAUGUUUGUUUGGUUAAUUUUACCUUUAUAUCUUUAUAAUUUGUACCCACUUAUGAUUAGUUGUUCUUAAAAUCAUUAAGCUUUACACAUGUAGGUCACCACCAUUUGUUUCUUCUGCUUAAUAAUUAAUGGGAAUCUAAAGUAAACAUAAUAAUUAUGAUGCAAGCUUUCAACUUAUCUCUAAUCAUUAAACAAUAAAAAAAAAAUAUGAUUAUUUGGAUUGUGGAAAAGAGAUUGAAAAUAUGAUAAUAAUAAUAAUUUUAUAUUUUAAUUAUUAUUAGUAUUAUUAAUUAAAAAUUGUUCAAAAAUAAAUUUAAUCAUUAAAUCCUAAAUCAAUAUUUUGAAUAAUGAUUAAUUCCAUUUUAAAAAAUAUAGCAUUUUUGAGUCAUUCUUACCUUGUACAAUACAAACAAUUGUUAUGAAGGAAGAAUUUGGAAUUUGAAAAUGUGUUGAACGAAUUUAUUUAAAAAUUAAUUCUUUAGAACAUUAAAUAGACUUUUGAAAAAGAAAGGAAAAGAUUUGACAUUGAUGAAAGUAAAAAUGGAAGUGAAGAGUGAGAAUUGGAAAACAAUCAUUGAAGAUUCUUAAUUAAUCUAUCUUAUCCAUUGAUUUAUGUGUUAAUGCAUGUUAUGUUUUGACCAAGAUACCUUAAUCAAUGAUCUUAAUGCUUUCACAAUCAUAACUUAAUCACUGAUCUUAUCUUAAGAUUGAUUGAAAAAAUUCAAAAAAAUAGUCUUUUGAUCAUGAUUCAAUAAUAGAAUAUAUUUUAAAGAAUAUAAUUUGCUACACUUGUGAUUUACAUUACUCUUAUCAAGACACACUUAUUACAAUAUUAUUAAAAUUUUAUUAAAUAAAAACUAAUUAAUAUAUAAAUUAAUUUAUAUUAUUAAUAAAUUAAUAAAUAAUUUAUAAAUUAAUAUCUAAUAAACUAUUAUCCGUUUUGGAGCUUAAAACUUUAUCACAUUUUGUUUUAUUCUUAAAAGAUGUUUCAAUGGAUUAAGAAAGGAAUGUGUAUAUAAACUUAUCUUAACCUCAACUCUUAAGCGAUGUGGUACUAUGUUAGACAUACUAGAACACUCUCAAAGUUAUAACUUCUAACUAAUUAGAUAUAAAUUUAAAACUAUUUAUCAAUAAUAAAAAUUAAUUUACAUAACAAUAAUUAUUUUAUAACAUGAUGAUUAUAAAUUUUUAAUUUUGGGUUAUGCUUGUGUCCUUUGUGUUGUUCUUGUUUUUCUAUUUCUUUAUUUUUCUCUCUCUAAAAUCUCAGUUACUGUUGUUAUUUAUUCCUUUGAUUACUAGUGUGUGCCCUAAUGGAGAUCCGACGUCGUUUUCCAAUUCUCCUAUUUCUUGUUGAUAUUUUUUUAUUGUGUUAUUUUCCCCCUUUUACUCUGCGUCAUUUUUUCGAUUUCUAUAUAUGUUUUGCACGAUAAUCGUUAUAAUAACCCCAAAAACACCCCUCCAAUGUCAAUAAUACCCUAAUAUAAAGAUUUAAUAAAAAAAAACUCAUGACAAUCAAAUAAUUUAAAAUAAUAUAUUUUUAUUUAUAUGGAUCACAUUCUUCAUAUUAAAUAUAUUAUUUAUAAAAUUUUUUUCAUUAGAUAAGAGUUUAUAGUACAAAAAGAUAAAACUCAAUUUUUAAAUUUAGUAAAAAAAAUUACUUAUAUAUAUUAUUUAUUUAUUCUCAAUCUUUUAAUUAUUCAAAAUUUACAUAUAAUAAAGUAUAUAUUCUAAUUAGUUGUUUUCUCAUUAAUAUAAUAUAAGAGAAUUUUGUAUUAACUCAUACUUAUUAUAAUAAUAAUAUUUUUAUAAAAUAAAAUAUUUUUAUUUAUGAGGUUCUUAUUAUUUAUUUAAUCUUUAAUUAUAGAUUAUGUAGUAUUAACGUGUAAUACAUACAUAUUAUUAUUUUAUUAUUAUUUAGUUUUUAAAAAGUUAAGAAAUUAUGGAUAGUGUGAUCUAGAUAUAAGAAUCUCCUUUAAAGAUAAAUUAUAUUUUUUCUGUAAAUGCAAUUAUUUUGUAGUGAUCACUAAAAGAUCAUUUGGUGAACAAUUUUAGCGAUUGAAAUACAUUGGUUUCAAAUUGUGAUUGAAAUAGCUACUAAUUGACAACUCUCAUAAAUUUGAAACUGAAACAAAAACAAAAUAAUUUGUCUAAAAAAAAAUCAUUUAGUAAUCGAUUUUAACAACCAAAAUAAGUCAAUCAUAAAUUGUGAUUGAAAUAGUGACUAAUUGACAUAUGUCACAAACUUGCAAUCGAAAUAAUGAUAGGAUAAUUUGUAAAUGAUAUUAGCUUUUGCAACGACUCAAAUAGUGACAAAAAAUAAUGGUAGCUAAAUUUUAGUCACUAAAUCAACGAUUGUAUGAAGUAAAAGAAGAGUGAUGACAACGACAAAAUAAUGACUGAAAAAUAAUUUAUUUUAGCAACCAAUUUAUUUGUGUUGCUAAAUCAUUCUAACAAAUAUCAUUCAAUGACCAAUUUAAGUGACCUAAAAAGACUAAUGCAAAUCAUGACUAAAAUAACGACCAAUUAACAUCUGUCACAACUCUACUACCAAAACAAAAAUGGAGAAAUUUGUUAGUGGUGACAAUCAAAUAAACUAGCCUUAUAUUGAGUUCUUCAUUUAACUUUCUUGUGCUUGCUUGUGAGUCAUAAUUUCUUGAAGUCUUUAUCAAAGUUUGAACUCCCUCCUCUCUUUCUUGUUGUGAUUCCUCUUUAAUUAAUUUAUUAACACAUCAUACUCUACUUUUUAGAAUAUUGAUAGAAUAUUGAUAUAUGCAUAUACUUAAACUUUUAUAAGAUACAAAAUAAAUAAAAAUUAUGUUUUUAUUUUAAUUUGAUCUUAGAAUUGAAAAGUUUACCACUAGUCAACAUAUAUAAAAAAAUCUAUAUAUAAACCUCCUAGUACUUUCAAAUUAUAUCUCUUCUCCUUAUUCCAAAUUUUGGAUACUACAUACUAUAUAAAAUCAAUUUAAUAUAACAAAUAAUGCAUAAUAAAACCAAGGAGCGACUUAUUCAUGUGUGAAAUUGCUUAGAAAAUAUUAAAUUAUUUAAUAUUGACAAUAUUGAAUUAAUUUAUUACAAAUAGUUACACUCACUCAUUCAAAUAAAAAGACACAAUAGCACAUUGAGUUAGUGCAACAAUGUCNNNNNNNNNNNNNNNNNNNNNNNNNNNNNNNNNNNNNNNNNNNNNNNNNNNNNNNNNNNNNNNNNNNNNNNNNNNNNNNNNNNNNNNNNNNNNNNNNNNNNNNNNNNNNNNNNNNNNNNNNNNNNNNNNNNNNNNNNNNNNNNNNNNNNNNNNNNNNNNNNNNNNNNNNNNNNNNNNNNNNNNNNNNNNNNNNNNNNNNNNNNNNNNNNNNNNNNNNNNNNNNNNNNNNNNNNNNNNNNNNNNNNNNNNNNNNNNNNNNNNNNNNGUCCUUUGGGAAGAGUAUGAAAAUGUAGGUUGUUAAUGGUUCUAUCACAAGGUGGUGUACUGCACUUAUGUGAAGGUCCGGAAGGUGGAACAGGACCUUUGGGAAGAGUAUGAAAAUGUAUGUUUUGAAUGGUUCUAUCACAAGAUGGAGUACUGCACUUAUGUGAAGGUCCAGAAGGUGGAACAGGGCCUUUGGGAAGAGUAUGAAAAUGUAUGUCUCCAAUGGUUCUAACAGCUAAUUUAUGAGUAAGAGCUUUAAUCACAUUAUUAAACUGAGUUGUUGGAUUCAAGUCAUGUUGAGCUUUAGGGGGAAAGGUUUCUUCCAUGUUGAAAUCUUGGAUGUUAUUCAAGGCAAAUGUAACAUUUGCUAUGACUAUAUUUGAGAAAACAAGAAACAAAACAAAUGAACUUAAGCUAAUGGCCAUUUUGGAUUCCUUGAUAAGAAAAUGAGAAGCUCAAUGCUAACAUUUAUAGUAUACCAUGAGAAAGAAAUAAAAUAGUAUUAAUAAUAAAAAAGUUAUUAUUAAUAUGGAAUAAAAAUACUAGUUAUAUAAUCUUGACUAAUCUUUCUAUAUACCAUGACUAUACUCUUUAAAAUGAAUAGAAAUCUUUAGAAUAAAUUUUAAAUUUAUUUAUUGAUUAUUACAUGUGUAUACAAAUUUGUGAGUAAAUUUAAUAUGGAUUACUACUUACAUAUGUAUCUCUUAUUAAACUUAACAUUACAUACAAAUUAUUGUUAAUAGAUAUACAUUCAUGAGUAAAUUCAACAUUGUAUACAAAUGAUUACCCUUAGAUUAACAAUAUUGUUAUUAAUACUCUUAUUAAUAUUAUUAAUAAUAUUAAUAUCAAUAUUACUUAUAGAUAAAAUAUUAUCCACAACUACUUAGAGUAUUACUCAUAAUAAUAAUAAUAAUAAUUUUUCUAUUUAUUUAUUGAAUAAUUUUUAUUUUGAAUUUAAUGUACUUGUAACCUCAAUGGACUCUGAUUAUGUGUUUUAAUUAUUUUAUCAUAUUAUUAGUAUUACAAAAUAUCAAUAAUUAAAUGUAAUUAUCUUAGUAGAUAAAGAUGAUAAUUUUAUUAAACUGUGAUGAUAAAAAAGAUUAGUUGAAGAUAAUCUCAACCUAUACCACACAUUUAUUGUGUAUUAAGUUAUUAUUUAUUUAAAUAACUUCAGUAAAGGAUCUUCUCAAUACAUUGUGAGCACUAAAAAAGAAAUGUAUUAAAGUAUAUUUUAUUAAAUAUGUUUGUUUGGUUCAUUUUAUCUUUAUAUCUUUAUAAUUUGUAUCCACUUAUGAUUGGUUCUUCUUAAAAUCAUUAAGCUUUACACAUGUAGGUCACCACCAUUUGUUUCUUCUACUUAAUAAUUAAUGGGAAUCUAAAGUAAGCUUAAUAAUUAUGAUUAUAAUACAAGCUUUCAACUUAUCUCUAAUCAUUAAACAAUAAAGGAAAAAAAAGAGGAAAGAUAUGAUUAUUUGGAUUGUGGAAAAGAGAUUGAAAAUAUGAUAAUAAUAAUUAUUAUUAUUUUAUUUCUUUAAUUAUUAUUAGUAUUAUUAAUUAACAGUUACUCAAAAAUAAAUUUAACCAUUAAAUCACAAAUCAAUAUUUUGAAUAAUGAUUAUUUCCAUUUAAAAAAAUAUAGCAUUUUUUAGUCGUUCCUACCUCGUACAAUACAAACAACUGUAAUGAAGGAAGAAUUUGGAAUUUGAAAAUGUGUUGAACGAAUUUAUUUAAAAAUUAGUUCUUUAGAACAUUAAAUAUACUUUUGAAAAAGAAAGGAUAAGAUUUGACAUUGAUGAAAGUAAAAAUGGGAGUGAAGAGUGAAAAUUGGAAAACAAUCAUUGAAGAUUCUUAAUUAAUUAAUCUUAUCAAUUGAUUUAUGUGUUAAUGCAUGUUAUGAUUUGACCAUCAUACCUUAAUCAAUGAUUUUAAUGCUUUCACAAUCAUAACUUAGUCAAUGAUCUUAUCUUAAGAUUGAUUAAAAAAAUUAAAAAAAAAUAGUCUCUUCAUCAUGAUUCAAUAAUAGAAUAUAUUUUAAGGAAUAUAAUUUGAUACAUUCGUGAUUUACAUUACUCUUAUCAUCAAGACACACUUAUUACAAUAUUAUUAAAAAUAUAUUAAAUAAAAACUAAUUAAUAUAUAAAUUAAUUUAUAUUAUUAAUAAAUAAUUUAUAAAUUGAUAUCUAAUAAAGUAUUGUCCAUUUUGGAGCUUAAAGCUUUAUCUCAUUUUGUUUUAUUCUUAAAAGAUGUUUCAAUGAAUUAAGAAAUGAAUGUGUAUAUAAACUGAUUUUAACCUCAACUCCUAAGCGAUAUGGUACUAUGUUAGACAUACUAGAACGCUCUCAAAGUUUUAGCUACUAACUAAUUAGAUAUAAAUUUAAAACUAUUUAUCACUAAUAAAAACUAAUUUAGAUAACAAUAAUUAUUUUAUAACAUGAUGAUUAUAAAUUUUUAAUUUUGGGUUAUGCUUGUGUUGUUCUUGUUUUUCUUUCUUUUUCUAUUUCUUCGUCUUUCUCUCUCUAAAAUCUCAGUUACUGUUGUUAUUUAUUCCUUUGAUUGCAAAUGUGUGCCCCAAUUGGGAUACGACGUCGUUUUCCAAUUCCCCUAUUUCUUGUUGAUAUUUUGUUGUUGUGCAAUUUCCCCCCUUUUCCUCUGUGUCAUUUCUAUAUAUGUUUCACGAGAAUCGUUAUAAUAACCCCAAAAACAACCCUCCAAUGUCAAUAAAACCCUAAUAUAAAAAUUUAAUAAUAAAAAAAAACUCAUGAGAAUCAAAUAAUUUAAAAUAAUAUAUUUUUAUUUAUAUGGAUCACAUUCUUUAUAUUAAAUAUAUUAUUUAUAAUUUUUUUCAUUAGAUAAGACUUUAUAGUACCAAAAGAUAAAACUCAAUUUUCAAAUUUAGUAAAAAAAAUAUUACUUAUAUAUAUAUAUAUUAUUUAUUUACUUUCAAUCUUUUAAUUAUUCAAAUUUACAUAUAAUAAAGUAUAUAUUCUAAUUAGUUGUUUUCUCAUUAAUAUAAUAUAAGAGAAUUUUGUAUUAACUCAUACUUAUUAUAAUAAUAAUAUUUUUAUAAAAUAAAAUAUUAUUAUUUAUGAGGUUCUUAUUAUUUAUUUAAUCUUUAAUUAUAGAUUAUGCAGUAUUAACGUGUAAUACAUACAUAAUAUUAUUUUCUUAUUAUUUAGUUUUUAUAAAGUUAAAAAAUUAUGGAUGGUGUGAUCUAGACAUAAGAAUCUCUUUAAAGAUAAAUUAUAUUUUUCACUUAAAUAAUAUAAAUUUACUCAAUUGUGAUUAUAAUUUAAUAAAUAUAUAUAUGUUUUUAAAAAUUUACUUAGUGUCUUUUUUGUUAAAAACAUCACUUAAAGAAGAAUUUAUUGUCGAAAAACCAGGACACUGCAAAUUAGUGUUUUUUUAUACCAUAUAAUAAUUAAAAAAAAAAUACAAUUAGUAUAAACUUAUCAUAUAUGAUAUUAAAUAAAAAAUAUUUAAAAAAUACAGACAAACAAACACGAUAACGACUAUGUUUUUCUUAGUCAUAAUAACAAUAAUAAAAAUCAUAUAUUAUCUAGUGUAGUAGUUAUAGGUUUUAUAUUUAUUCAUGGAACGUGAAUUUGAUUCUCUCUAACAUUAGAUGAACAUUGAUGGGAAAUAUUACCUAUGGAUGGAAAACAUUACCUACAAAUGAGCAUAAGUGGUAAACAUGAAUUAUUUGCACCAUAUUAUGUAUGGAAACAUAGAAUUAUAUACACCUUUAUUAUGUAUGGAAUUUCGUUUGUAAAUAUAAUUAUUUUUGUAGUGAUCACUAAAAGAAAGGUUAUUUGGUGAUCAAUUUUAGUGACUAAAAUAAGUUGGUCACAAAUUAUGAUCGAAAUAACAAAUAAUUGACAUCUUUCACAAAUUUGCAACCAAAACAACAACGAAAUAAUCUAUUUACAAAAAACGUCAUUUAGUGACCGAUUUUAGCAAUAAAAAUAAGUGAAUAAGAAAUUUUGAGCAAAAUAGCGGCUGAUUCACAUAUAUCACAAAUUUUGACCAAAAUAACGACAAAAUAAUUUGUAAAUGAUAUUAGCUUCUGUAAAAACUAAAAUAACUACAAAAAAAUAAUGGUAGCUAAAUUUUAUUCGCUAAAUUGGUACAUGUAUGCAGUAAAACAAAAGUGAUGUUGUCAGUGAUCGAAAUAAGGAUAAAAAAGCAAUCUAUUUUAGCGACUUCAAUUUGGUUUCAGUUGCUAAAUUUGUACUAAAAAGAUAAGUUACGGACAAAGUUGAAGCGACAUUGAAGUUUUUAAAAUUUCGGAGUUAUAAUUGAUUUUUGACCCUUAAUGUAGGAACAUUAAAAGGAUGAUUAAACAUUAUAAUAAUAAUCAUCACAAUAUAAUAACAAAGAGUAGUUGACGUAUUCGUUAUAUGAUAUAUAUAUAUAUACUCAUGCGAUUGACAUGAUUAACAUUAAAUAACAUUAAAAACAACAUUAAAUAUCAAUAAAUAACAUUAAAUAGUUUUAAAUAACAUUAAAAAAUAUUAAAUAAAAUUAACAAUAAUAAUUAAUGAUUAAAACAAAUUUCAUCACAAAUAGUCCAAAAUUUAGUCUUCAAAUUAGUCACUCUAAAUUAUUUUAUUUUAAUUAAUGAUUUAAUCCGAAUAGCGACAUAAAAAUUGGUGGCUAUUUCCAUUUACCUUAGCCAUUGAUUUAGUAAUAGAAUUUGCCAUCAAUUUUUUGUUGCAAAAUUGGUCUCCUAGAAUUAGGUGACCAAACUCUUUCUGAUAAAAAAAGCGAACGAUAGAAAAAGUGGUUUGCAAUUAGGAUUUUCUCUACCACAUGUAUUUAAUCACUAUUCAGUCACAAAUAAAUUUAGCAAUUGACUUCUAAACUUUAGCAACUGAUUUGGUGGUUGUUAAAAUUCAUUUUUUUUUGUGUGUGUAUUGAUAUGUGUAUAUUUAAACUUUUAUAAGAUAGAAAGAUAAAUAAGACUUAUGUUUUAUUUUAAUUGAUCUCAACAUUUAAAAGUUUACUACUAGUGUAUAUAUNNNNNNNNNNNNNNNNNNNNNNNNNNNNNNNNNNNNNNNNNNNNNNNNNNNNNNNNNNNNNNNNNNNNNNNNNNNNNNNNNNNNNNNNNNNNNNNNNNNNCUAUUUAUGUCUUUGCUAGUUCAUCAUUCUGUUUUUUUAUUCCUAUUAGGAUUCCUCUGUUUCUGAAAAGAGUGCUUACUGUUUUUCCUUAUUGCAACUGAUUUACGUACUGUAAAAUUCUGAAAUUCUGGAUUUGAGAUAUUCAAAGUGUUAGAAAAGAAUAGAAAAAAGAAUCAUUCAAAAAUAUGAAGUACACAAAAAAUGAUAAAUAAAAUAAUGAAAAUGUACAUUGUUAAUGUUUCUAUUACAAGGUGGAGUACUGCACUUGUGUGAAGGUCCAGAAGGAGGAACGGGCCCUUUGGGAAGAGUAUGAAAAUGUUGGUUGUUAAUGGUUCUACCACAAGGUGGAGUAUCGCAGCUUUGUCCAGAAGGUGGAAUAGGCCGUUUGGGAAGAAUAUGAAAAUAUAUGUUUCUAUUGGUUCUGAUAGUUAAUGUAUGAGCAGGAGCUUUAAUCACAUUGUUAGACUGAGUUGUUGGAUUCAAGUCAUGCUGAGCUUUAAGGGGAAAUGUUUCUUCCAUGUUGAAACCUAGGAUAUUAUUCAAGGCAAAUGUAGCAUUUGUUAUCACUAUAUUUGAGAAAACCAGAAACAAAACAAAUGAGCUUAAGUUAAUGGCCAUUUGGAUUCCUUGAUAAGAAAAUGAGAAGCUC